UAAGCAUGCUAAAGGAUCUAAGAGAUGAAGCAAUGUCAAGACAUGUAAUUAUUAGAGAGAAAAUGGAGAGAUGUAGAACAACAGUGGUUCCAACAUGUCAUUCAAAACUAAAAAUUGAGACAAAAAGAGCACUUCAUGGCGUGCACAAUGGUUAGAGGAUUCAGAACAUUCUAUCUUUCAGGUGAUAUGUAGGCCUGAACAAUAUGUGGUUAAUGUGAAGAAUGCAACAUGCACCUGUAGAGUGUGUGAUCUUACUGGAAUCCCUUGUUGCCAUACCAUUGUAGCAUUUGGAUUUCUGCAUAAAGAUCCUGAAGACUUUGUCCAUCCAGCUUUAAAGAAGGAAACAAUACUAAAGGUAUAUGGACACAAUGUCAUGCCUACCAGUGGAUCCACUUUGUGGCCUAGGGUGACUGGUGAUGUGGUUCUCCCACCAAAAGCGAAGGUUGUGAUUGGGAGAGCAAAGAAAAAAUGAAGACUAGAGCAUGAUGAGCCAAAGACAACGAGCAAGCUGUGAAGGAGGUAUCCAAAACUAAAGUGUACAAAAUGUGGAAAUGAAGGGCAUAAUAGAAGGACUUGUGGCAGACAACAGAAUCAGAAUAAUGCUGGAGUUGGAACAUCUGCCUCUGCUGCUAUUACUGGAGGUGGCAGCUCUGCCUCUGCUAGAAGAAUUCAUACUGCUGGAACAACUGCUCCAGUUAGGUCAAAGAUGGCAGUGAGAAGAUCCACAACUACUGAUACCUUGAGAGCUGCAACCUUAGGUUCAAGAUACGCAUCCAUGCUCAAAGGAACGCAAGAAUCAACCAAUCGUGGUUCGAGGGACGCUUGAAACUGUGUCUUGAUGACUUUGAGUAUGUUAGUAAGAACUACUAAGUUGUUUUUGUGAGAUUUUGGGUAUUCCUACCUGUAAACUCUAUUGAUGGAUGAAUGUUUUAGCUGACUUAUUAAUUUAGUAUUUAUGGAAUGCUGCUAAUAUUAAUUAUAAGUGAUUGUUUUGAUA